rnacentral:rRNA from 1 species
UACGGAGGGGGCGAGCGUUGUCCGAAGUUACUGGGCGUAAAGGGCGUGUAGGCGGUCGGCCAAGUCUGAUGUGAAAGCCCGAGGCUCAGCCUCGGAAGUGCGUCGGAAACUAGUCGGCUGGAGCGCGAUAGAGGAGGGUGGAAUUCCUGGUGUAGCGGUGAAAUGCGUAGAUAUCAGGAGGAACACCGGCGGCGAAGGCGGCCCUCUGGAUCGUUGCUGACGCUGAGACGCGAAAGCGUGGGGAGCAAACAGG